CCCUUAGAUGUUCUGGGCUGCACGCGCGCUACACUGAUGCAUUCAACGAGUCUAAAACCUGGUCUGAUAGGGCUGGGUAAUCUUUUGAAUGUGCAUCGUGAUUGGGAUAGAUGAUUGCAAUUCUUCAUCUUCAACGAGGAAUGCCUAGUAAACGCAAGUCAUCAGCUUGCAUUGAUUACGUCCCUGCCCUUUGUACACACCGCCCGUCGCUCCUACCGAUUGAAUGUUCCGAUGAAUACCAUGGACUGAGAGUGUGAAUGGGUUCGCCUAUUUCUGCUUCUCGGGAAGUGGAGUAAAUCUUAACAUUUAGAGGAAGGAGAAGUCGUAACA
rnacentral:rRNA from 1 species